CGUACCCCUCCUCCCUCGUCCCCAUCUCCUCGCCGCCACCGCCACCUCCUCCCUCGUCCCCGGGCCCCUCCUAAUCCAGUCCUCUCCUCGCCGCUCGCACCCACCGCCGACCUCUCCGUCCAACCAACCAAACCCCAUCUCAUCCCCCCGCACUCUCUAUCUUCCUCGCUCGAUUCCCUCCUCGUCUCUCCCUCGCCUCGCCUCGCCGCCCCAACCCACCGCCACCGGCGACUUUGCUCCCCCGCUCCGCCCUAUCCCCCACCAUCGCCGCGAAACCCUUCACCCUCCUCCUCUCCCUCCCAGAUCGAGCAGCACGUCAGGUGGCCGCUAGAUCCGCCCCGGCGCUACCAGAUCCAAUCUCGUGCCGUCAACACGCGAGAGGGUGCGCGAGGUCAUCUGCUCCCCCCCCCAUCGCUCACGCGCCAGGAGAGGAAGAGAUGGCGGCCACUUGUUUGUUCCUUUCUCUCCGGCGACAACGCGGCCGUGCGGGUUCUUCCGCUCGAGGAGAGAUUUCGCUGCAGCUCGGUUGCUCCGACGCCAUGGAGCUCGUCAACAAGAUCUCCUCUCUCGCUCUCUCUCUCUCUCUCUCUCGCUCUCUCUCUCUCUACAGUUCGACCCGAUUUGUUUUGGGGCUCCUGUUGCUCUGUUCGUGAUGCUCGUGCUUCUCCCUCUCUGCUGCAGGACACCAUCUCCCUCUCUGUGUUGCUCUGUUCGCCAAGUUCUUUCUGAUGCACGAUAUAAAACCCUUGGAGGAGUUCGAGAACCCUAGAUGCAGCCACGACGGCCUCAACGCCUUCAAAUCUUGGGCUCCAACAAGCGGCUCUAGGAGAUGGAGCUUUGGAUGCUCCACCUCACUGCCCUGCUUACCACCAGGAAUAUGCUCAACCCAGGGGUUCCGUUCCACUCAUGCUCAACUUUUUCAAUAGAUCCCUUCUGCCUGGCGCUUGCUGAUUUCUACCAGUUGCUUUCAUGAGCAUGCUUAUUCAGGUCAUUGUUGUGAAGGCCGCCACAGGAAGGCGUGGGGGAUUUGGCACAAGGCCGGUGAUCGAGUAUAUGCUCUCUCUCCUCCAUGGAAAGACCUAAAUUCAGCUUGACAGAGAGCACACGAAUGGUUUCAUAGUGUGUUCAGCGUAAAGAGCUAUGUGAGCCCUCCUGGGAGGGGCUUCGGUUGUACCUCUGAUUGAGCUCCCCAUAAACUUUGGCCCAAGAAGCUCAAGUUUGAAGUGUGAAGUGUGAAGCCGUGAAGUACUACUCAGUGAAGAGCAGCAUAUUGUAGCAUAUCUGUGUUGUAAAGAUUGUAAUAGAUUUAUUUAGUGGUAUAUUUGAUGAAUUUAAUGUGUUCCUUGUUCUUUUUGAAGUAUUGAUUAUGUAUGUGAUUUGAAAACUUGUGAAAUGGAAACUUACCAGUGGGGCAACUUAUGAAAACAAUCUGUCUAAUUUGUACAUUUCUGACAUGUGGGACCAAUUUGAGAGAUGAACAUGACAAGUGGGACCUAUCUGACUAGUGGGACCGGCUUGAAUAUAUAACGGUUGUAAAUAGAAAAAUAAAUAGACCAUAAAAGGCCACGGCCCAGAAAAUGAAAAAAGGCCGAAUUGUUGGGCCAGGUCCAUGGGGCUAACCAGAAUUAAUAGAAAA